rnacentral:rRNA from 1 species
UACGGAGGGGGCUAGCGUUGUUCGGAAUUACUGGGCGUAAAGCGCACGUAGGCGGCUUUGUAAGUCAGCGGUGAAAGACCAGGGCUCAACCCUGGAACUGCCAUUGAUACUGAUAAGCUUGAGUAAAGUUGAGGUAGGCGGAAUUGACGGUGUAGCGGUGAAAUGCUUAGAUAUCGUCAAGAACACCGAUUGCGUAGGCAGCUUACUAAGCUUUAACUGACGCUGAGGCACGAAAGUGUGGGGAUCAAACAGG